UAGGAAACCAAUCGAUUGGAUAAUACAGUAUUCGACGUUUCGGGCGAGACCCUUCGGCAGGACUGAAGAAACAAAAGAAGAGUAGACUUAAAAGGUGCAGCCUGACUUGCUGAAUUCCUCCAGAUUGUCUCUCUCUCUCUCACACACACACGAUUACUGUCUGCAGAUCUACAUUACAAGGAAGUGCACAACCCAGCAUGAUGCAGCACAUUCAGGAGGAAGGACAAGGAACUGAACUGAUGGCACUCCAAUGCUGG